rnacentral:rRNA from 1 species
GACGAACGCUGGCGGCGUGCUUAACACAUGCAAGUCGAACGCUGAAGCUUGGUGCUUGCACUGGGUGGAUGAGUGGCGAACGGGUGAGUAAUACGUGAGUAACCUGCCCUUGACUCUGGGAUAAGCCUGGGAAACUGGGUCUAAUACUGGAUACGACAUGCCACUGCAUGGUGGUGUGUGGAAAGAGUUUUACUGGUUUUGGAUGGGCUCACGGCCUAUCAGCUUGUUGGUGGGGUAAUGGCCUACCAAGGCGACGACGGGUAGCCGGCCUGAGAGGGUGACCGGCCACACUGGGACUGAGACACGGCCCAGACUCCUACGGGAGGCAGCAGUGGGGAAUAUUGCACAAUGGGCGGAAGCCUGAUGCAGCGACGCCGCGUGAGGGAUGACGGCCUUCGGGUUGUAAACCUCUUUCAGCACGGAAGAAGCGAGAGUGACGGUACGUGCAGAAGAAGCGCCGGCUAACUACGUG